rnacentral:rRNA from 1 species
AUUGAACGCUGGCGGCAUGCCUAACACAUGCAAGUCGAACGGAAACGAUGCUAGCUUGCUAGCAGGCGUCGAGUGGCGGACGGGUGAGUAAUGUAUAGGGAUCUGCCUAGUAGUGGGGGACAACAUGUGGAAACGCAUGCUAAUACCGCAUACGCUCUACGGAGGAAAGUGGGGGACCUUUCGGGGCCUCAUGCUACUAGAUGAACCUAUAUUGGAUUAGCUUGUUGGUAAGGUAAUGGCUUACCAAGGCGACGAUCCAUAGCUGGUUUGAGAGAAUGAUCAGCCACACUGGGACUGAGACACGGCCCAGACUCCUACGGGAGGCAGCAGUGGGGAAUAUUGCACAAUGGACGAAAGUCUGAUGCAGCAAUGCCGCGUGUGUGAAGAAGGCCUUAGGGUUGUAAAGCACUUUCAGACGUGAGGAAAAGUAAUAAUUUAAUAAAUUAUUACCUUGACGUUAACGUCAGAAGAAGGACCGGCUAACUCCGUGCCAGCAGCCGCGGUAAUACGGAGGGUCCAAGCGUUAAUCGGAAUUACUGGGCGUAAAGCGCGCGUAGGCGGAUAUUUAAGUCAGAUGUGAAAUCCCUGGGCUCAACCUAGGAACUGCAUUUGAUACUGGAUAUCUAGAGUAUGGUAGAGGUGAGUGGAAUUUCAGGUGUAGCGGUGAAAUGCGUAGAGAUCUGAAGGAACAUCAGUGGCGAAGGCGACUCACUGGGCCAUUACUGACGCUGA